UGUUAAAUUUUUUAUUCAUUUAUACUGUUAAAAAUUAAAGUGAUUGACAAAAUAAUCAAUAACAAACACGUAGCGUAUCACGUGUACCACAUGCUGAUGUAUAUUGACCAAUUUUUAACAGUAAAAAUGUAGAUUUUUUACCA
rnacentral:pre_miRNA from 1 species